GGUGUGCGCAGGCGCGUGGCGGCGGCCUUACCGGUAGCGCGCGGGUAUCUGAGGUGGAAGACUCGAGUCGGGUUGUUACCAAUGUUUGGACACAAGCUGCUUUUUUGUGCAAGUGUGAGGUCUUCUGUGGGAGGAAUCCCUGGAAUUGGCAUUGCUGCGCCCAGCAGGAUGUGCCUAAAGUAACGUUGAUAGCUCUUGGCAAGCUCCCUCUGGAAGCUCCAUUGAUCAUUGAAGCCCAGCCACAAAAGUUUUCUUGGAGUCGCUUUUCGGUUUCAUGCAAAGCCACUGAAACCUUUUUGAAGAGUUGCUGGUGGAUUCCUCUGGACAGCGGUCGCGGUGUGUUCUCUGAGCCACAGAAGAAGGGUCACCCGUGAACCUCAGUGAUUUAUGCUCUGCCGUGGUAGUGACGUGAGGGACAGCACAGACGUUCAUGACACAUCUGUUUUGCGCCAGAUAUUCUGCUAGGUGCUCCACCCUACAUCACCUGGGUGAGGAAACAGCAGGAAGACACCACCCGGGAACCUGGAAGGGGCUCUCACCAGACACUGAAUCUGCCAGCACCUUGACCUUGGACUUCCAGCCUCCAGAACUGUGAGAGCUCAGUGGUAGUUGUUUAAGCUGCCAGCCUGUGGUGGUGUUUGGGAUAGCAUCUUGAACAGACGUAGACAGUACUACAUGGACGUGAUUUAGAGAGUGAAUUACCAGAUCCCCUUCUCUACCCCCCGCCCAGGUUCCAGCUCACCAAAGGCAGCCACUUUUAAAUCUCUUAUAUUUCUCUGUGUUUCUAAAUAAUCUGCUUCUUUCCCCUCUUUCUUUCUCUCUUUCCUUUAUUUCCGUUUUCGAUGGUGUCUGUUGAUUACCACUAAGUAGGAAUGAGGAAUUCUCUUCCAGCCCCACCACAGUCCUUCCUCCCCCAUACAGUUAAAUGUUCUCAGUGUUACGAUGGUGUAAACCAUGUUCACGGUUGAACAUGUAGGCAUAAAUGCCUGACUGUGUGCAUGUGGGCAAAGGCUCCCUUAUGUAGUGGGGAACCUUGAACAAACAAGCCCCCUGAAGGAGGGCUGGACGUAGACCCCCAGGCUGACACCGUGAGCCCCAGGUCUCCUGAAUGGUCAGUCUACAUGCAUGUAUAAGAUAAACUCAUCAU